CGCAUCUGUGCAUGCAGCAUAUCAAUAAGCGGAGGAAAAGAAACUAACAAGGAUUCCCCUAGUAACGGCGAGUGAAGCGGGAAGAGCUCAAAUUUGAAAUCUUAAAGGGUUUCCCUUUACGAAUUGUAGUUUAAAGAAGUGUUUUCUGUUGAGGUUUUGGUAAAAGUUCUUUGGAAUAGGACAUCAUAGAGGGUGAGAAUCCCGUAUUUGACCUUUACUUUCAACUUUGUGAUACACUUUCAAAGAGUCGGAUUGUUUGGGAAUGCAGUCCAAAAUGGGUGGUAAAUUUCAUCUAAAGCUAAAUAUUGGCGAGAGACCGAUAGCGAACAAGUACCGUGAGGGAAAGAUGAAAAGAACUUUGAAAAGAGAGUUAAACAGUACGUGAAAUUGUCAAAAGGGAAGCGUUUGACACCAGUGCUGUUUUUCUGAAAAUCAAUUAAAGAGCUGUUUAUGCUAAGCUGUUUAGACUUUAUCAGCUAUCUGUUUAGUUUUGAGCUUUUCUUUAAUGCACUUUUCAGUUAACAAGUCAACAUCAAUUUCUUUUGCUGUAAAAAAGCUUGAGGAAGGUGGCUUGAGAUUCGUCUUAAGUGUUUAUAGCCUCUUGCCUAUGCAGUCGGAGAGAUUGAGGUCUGCAGCGUAGAUCCUUCGGGGCUAAAUGCAUUUGUGCUAAGUUAUAGCAUUUUAUAGACAACUUGUUGACUAUGAUUUGUCUUGUAGCUUACUCGCUUAUGUUAUUUUACCUACGCUUAGGAUGUUGAGUCAUCACACAUCUCUA
rnacentral:rRNA from 1 species